CAGCUCUGACUGCUUCCUUAUAAUAGUAAUAACAACAAUAAACACUUCAGUUGCAUAUUGGAGGAAUGACAAAUAAUAUCUCACCUCAGAUCAAGAAGUUAACUGCUUUAAACCUAAAUUACACUAACUAGUUAUUUCUGGAGUGGCCUACUUCAGUAAAGAAAGUACUCAGAAAACAUUUUGCUUUUUUUUUUAAACUAAGAUUAGUACUAUAUUUUUUCAUAACUAUUAAAAAAAAAUCAAACACUGUAUGCUUUUCCAAUUUUUUUAUCUCCAUUACUGAAGUAUGCUGGGUGCAUGCAGCAAGAGGCCAAUUCACUGAUCUAACUGUUCAUUCAGAUGUGAUUAAUAACUUCGCUUUUAUGCCAGGGGACACUACGCUGGCACUGCUGGAAGAUAGACCAGAGAUACUUGGCACAUCUAAUGCCUUGAUACUGUGCUAAGUAUUACAAUACACGUGGGGUGAUGUAUAACAACAUUUGAUUAGAGUUGUUUUAAAAGAUAAUUGGGGAGCAAAGAUCAAGUUUGUGCAUUUUGUGCCUUAUUUCAUUCUUUUUUUUUUUUUGCACCAUCUUUGAUAAAUGUUUUCAAAAUGUAAGGUUGUGUUGUUACAGAAGGGGCGAUAUGACACCUCACAGUCCUACUCCCCAUCAAAAUGUUCUUAGGAAUGGAAAAUGGAAAGUAGGGAGGGCAAAGAAAGUCAAAACCUGUUGCUGUAAUGGUUCUCAGAGGUAUAUUGGUGAACUAGAUUCUCUUUACUUAGGGUGAGAUAUGUUGUUCGUGGACCUCCCCGUUGGUUUGUGCCUAGGUUGAAAGAAGCAGGGCUAAUUGGAUUAAGAAGAAAACCUAAGUAAUCCAGUAUAUAUUCAAAAUAAGAAGAUCAAAUAACUGGAAUAAUAUCUUAUUCUUUUUCCACUCUUGAAACAGUGAUAUCACUUGAAAGGAUUAAAAAUUAAGUUGUUUAUGUCCUUGGCUAACAUGGUUUGGGACGGUUUGUAACACAGCAAUAUUGGGUUUGUGGCUGAAAACUGUGUUGGGUGAGAAUUCGUGAUGUUUCUUCUGGACUUAAAAGGGCAUGGAAACUGCACGGUGGUUUCAAUGGAAGGGAUGCUACGAGGCGCUGCAGCCGUGGCUUAGAGAGGGCAUGGCUGGGACCAAGCUAUUGGCAAACCAGCAGCUGGAGGUGGGCAGCAGUGGCUGGAAACUUCAGUAACUGAGUAGCUAAGCCCCCUUGCAAUCCAGGAGGGGUCCAAUGCCCUGGUGCCCCUUGCUGUGCUAACUCUGCUGUG
ensembl:lncRNA